GGCGCUAGGCGGCCGGAGCCGGCCCGAGCCGGCCCGCGCAGGCCCGAGCUCGCCUUCCGACCCCGGCACGAAGGCGACGGCGGGCGGAGGCAGGGCCUUUUUCUCCCCUGCACAAUCUAGACGCCGUCCUCCCCCAGCCCAGCCAAGACUGCAUUCUCCGGUACCUGUUGAAAACAAAGAGGAAAAUAUUUAAGAAGGCUAAAUAAAGGAAGGAAAUAAACUAAUUCAAAUGUAAUGAAACCGGGUGCACAUCCUUCUACCAAUGAGGAUAUGGCUCAGUGUGGAUAAGGUGAGAAUAUUUAAGAAUCUGGAGAAGAAGCAUAAAUAUGAUUUUUUUCUUUUUUUAAAAAUUUUUAUUAAAUAAAGGCAAAAGGGAAUUCAGCUGCAUGAUACAAAGACUCCAGUUUGAUCAAAUUCCACAAAAACCUUUCCCACCUAUGUGAGAAGAGCUCUGUCUCCCUAACCCACGGGGGACACGCGGGAAACACCGCCUCAGGGAGCUGGCUCUCGAGGCCGCGCACACGCUCAAUUUCUGCUCCAUCCCAAGAGGCGAGGGCAGAGGAUGCGAUGGUUCUCACAGAUCUGCUUUACAAAUAAACUCGGGUUGACUCUUCAGAGGAGUCUCUUACGACACUUUAUUUUCAAAGAUCUGAGAAGAAAGUAGGGCAAAGGGCCAGGUAAGCAGUGCUGUGUGGCAAGUGGAAUGUACCGGUCUGUGGAGCCGUGGCGCGUUUAACAGAAUCUCAUCAGGCAUUGUAUGAAGACGAGGACACGCUGCCACCGUGGCCUGUCCAGUUGGUGUGGAUAAACUGUCCUGGCUUGUUCAAGAGUUCAUAGGUGUGAGCCCCAAAGUAAUCGCGCUGAGCCUAGAAAACAAGAAAUGGGUUGGUUAUAGGACAGACGCAGGCACAUGACCCGAGGUACCACCCAGGUUCAUGUUCAUCGCCUACUCCAAAAGCUCACCUGGAUUAGGUUGGCUGGCAGCAUCUUGUGUCUGUAUCCAUCGUAGAAGGAAAGAGCAGUGGUGAAGCAGGGCAUGGGAAUGCCUGUCUGGACACCAGUACUGACUGCCCGCCGCCAGGAGUCCUGAGCAAAAAAGUAAAGCCAACGACUAGUGAUUUGCGCAAAGAAAAGACAACAGAUUUUCAUGCAUAAAUGAAAAAGCAGACCCCCCAGAGCAAAACUCACUAAGACAGAAUUCCCGUACUACCCAGCUCUGGGCUACAUACCUGGCAGUUUUCCACAGCUGACUUAAAGAAGUCAUCUAGUAGUAGGUUCUGAAGUCCUGGGUUUCGAUCAAAUGCAUCUUUUAUCUUUCCCAGGAAUACACUGAAAUAAUCAAGAGGGAAAAAAAUCAAUGAAUCUUAACUAGCAGGCUGAACACCUGGCAGAAAGCAGGGGAAGUAAGUUGGAAGCUGACAGAUACCCUCGCGAGGUACGAAGGCACCUGUCCCCCCAUCCCCACCAGCUCGCUGUACGUGCCGUGAAUACAGACAGCCCAGGUCCCGAGAGGUGAGGGCCAAGGGCACAACCAUGCUCACAGAACUACUUUAGACGGGGAAGGAUGGACACUCGAGUUAGAAUAACUGACGUGCAGGAAGAAAGUGAGACGUGACACCUAAACCUGCCUGGUUGCCAACGUCCCAGCGAGAGGACUCAACUGUACCAGUUCCAGGGAAACCGUCCCCGAGAGCGCCCUAAGACCACAGCGCUCCCGCACGGCAGGUGGCAGGUGCCCCGACCACUCACCUCCUGAUGAUGCAGCCCCCUCUCCACAUCAGGGCAAUGCCACCAUAGUUGAGGGUCCAGCCAAAUUCAGUGGCUGCCUGUCUUAGCAGCAUAAAGCCCUGAGCAUAAGAGAUGAUCUUGGAAGCAUAGAGCGCCUAAAGGAGGGCACAAAGACUCAUCAGAACUGCGGCUGGCCCACGGCUGCCUAAUCCCCGCCCCGCCCCGCCCGCCACACACCCCCCCUCCCCCGCCACCGCAGUGCAGCUCUAACGAGGACACGGUUUAGGAAAGGCUGCAUAUCAGAUCAACGGGCAAGGCUGGACAGACCCCACGUCCUCCCCGUGGCCUCGGGGUGUUCUCCCCGCCAGUCCCAUCCCGCUGCCACUGCGGGGCGGCACCCCACCUUUCGAAUGUCCUCCAGGAAUGAUUUCUUAUCUCCUUCGAACUGGACCUUUUGAGGCCCCUUCAGCUUUUGGCUGGCUUGAAUCCUCUCGUCCUUCAGAGAUGAUAAGCAUCGAGCAAAGACUGCUUCUCCUAUGUGGGGGGAGGGGGAGAUAACAAGUCACCACAACUCACAGGCAGAACCCGAGGAGGAGCGCACACGAGCCAGAGAAGAUGAGGGAAAAGAGCAAUGCAGCACGAUUUCCAGUUUUACCACGAGCGCAAAGUCUCAACCUUCGGCCGCAAAGCUAACCUGCAUCAGAAAGAACUUUCAUAAAAAGCUCUAACGGUUAAUUUGAAAAUGAAAACUCCAAGUCAGUCUCCAACAUAAAUACACGUAUUCAACCUCAAAGAUCACCAUGAACUUCAAAGGGGAAUUUUAAGGGGAAAAAACGAAGAGCAAAACCACUAUCAUUAAGAAUUACUCCGUGUUGGUCCUCCAGUAAAAUUUCAGUUCCAUUUGCGAGGACUUUAAUUUAUAAAUGGUCACCAAAGACUUCAUUGCUUUUCUUUUGAGGCACUAAUACUCAUCACUUUGAAACGAGUACACUGAGACUUCUCCCUUCAAAAACUCCAUUUUCUAAUUCUUACAGUUUAGUUUUUGCUAUGUCCAUGGUCACCAUUACAGUUUCACAAUUUUACUUCAUUUGAAUAAAAAAUAUUUCAAUAUUUUUGGGGGGUGGGGGCUGUGCUGUGCAGCAUGUGGGAUCUUAGUUCCCCGACCAGGGCUUGGACCCUCAUCUCUGUACUGGAAGGCGGAUUCUUAACCACUGGACUGCCAGGGAAGUCCCCAAUAUGGUAUUUUAAUAUUAAAAUAUUAGUAUCUUAAAAAUUAUCACUUAUAAAUGCUUGCCCAGUUGACACUUUAUAUAAUUAGAAUAAAUUAACCAUUUUUUCCCCCAACAGACAGAAUGAAGUAAAACCUUUGGGAACUAACAGAGGACUUUAUUUCUGAGGAAAGAGUUCUGGCCAUAAACUUGAGAGCAGGUGUCGCCCUGUCCUUGUCCUUGCCCUGCUCUCUGGGCGCCUGCAGUGCACACACAGGAUGACUUAGCAUUCUUAGGCGGAAGCUUCAGAAGACAAAAAGCAGGAAGAGGCGAGUGUGGCGUAACCCUCCGGGGGUUACCUAAAGAUUAGCUGGAAGACUCAUUUCCCCGUCAGUUCAACAAACAAGAAUGGCACGCAGCCAGGGAGGAAGCCUGACUACCAUCAGCUGGAAGGUAGGGUACAAAGUCUCCGAAACAAGAGAGUAGGAUUCUUUUUGAGGCAGUGAUGAAUAAACUGCUCCCAGUUACUGUUCCCUUGGGCCCCCGCCCAGGGUAGCGCUCAGAUUAGCUAAAAAGCAGUCAACUUCCUUCUCUGUAGAGCUGGACUAAGCAAACUGCUUCCCUCCUUACUGUGCCUGCAACUACCCAGUCCACUGUAAACACAGUCAGGCAUAAUUAACAGGAAACCAAAGGCAGGAGGAGACUAGAGAGGGAAAGGCAACCUAUGUCUGGAAGAGUCAACAAGAAAACUUGUUUUAUUACUGCAGGGGGAACCAUUCUGCCAGGAGCAAAGAUCAGCCUUCAUUAAGCAGACCAGGAGCCUCCAUUCUCCUUUUCCAAUCUUGACAGAAUGUAUCUAUUUUAUUCUUAAAGAACCAUCACGUAGUUUUGUUAAUCCCCUUAUUAUUUUUGUUUUAUUUCUGCUUUUUAUUAUUUCCUUCUCUCUACAACUUUUUGAGUUUGAUGCUUAGCUCAUUAAGACAAGAUAAAAAACAUGGAUGGGAAGGAUAUACACUCACUUCAGGACAGUAGUUUUCUUCUAAAAGAAAAAGGGUAAGGAACUUAGGAAAAGAAUAUUAAAGGACUGGAAAUGCUUAGGUAAUAUUUUAUUCCUCAAAUAUCUGAGAAAAAAACCUCAGCAAAAUAGUAAUAAAUGUUGAGUACAUAAACUUUUAUUAUUCUGUGAACUUUUGUAUGAAAAAUUCCAUUACAGUUAGCUUCCCUAUUAGAAAGAUCUUAGGUCAUUGACUACAAUUUAAUCACUAACGUUAAAACGAUCCCCAAAGUCAAACUGGCUAAGACAGGUAGUAACUUUUGAAUUUAUCUCAAAGCUCACAUGCUUGACAGAAGGAUUAUAAAGAAGAGAUUCAACAGCAGCUUCAGCCUCUCUCACACCGUCAACUUAUUCAAGGGCAGAAAGAGCAGACCACACUCGGAAAGCCGACUAGGGUUGAAGAGAUUCUCUGAGAGAUCUGGUAACUCUUAGUUGCCAGAAAGACACCAGGGUCAAAACAGUGAGAUGAAAAGGUUCAAUCCAAAGCUGAGUGUUACCGAUGAGGGUGACGGGGACGCCGUACUCCAGGGCAGAGAUGGCGGUCCACUUCCCGGUGCCCUUCUGCCCCGCGCUGUCCCUGAUCUUUGGCAGCAGGUGUUCGCCAUCAGUAUCUUGGAACCUGAGAAUAUUGGCUGUGAUCUCAAUCAGGAAUGAGUCCAGCUCUGUCUUAUUCCAUUCCUCAAAGGCCUGUGGGCAGGAUGUGAAAGAAAACAAUGUGGGAGAACCUAGGAUUAUACCGGAGAUGCUCCCUUAACUGAUUCAUCCCUUUCCCAUGUAAAUAUUGACCGAUGCUCACAACCUGCUCAACCCCUGAGGCUACCAGGCUCCUCUGCAGGACACCCGAACACUUCUGCCACCAGCUGAGUUUUAUGCUAACCAACAGUCAGCUGCUUCUGAUUUCAACCUGUUCAUGCUGAUUUUCUGGUCACCAGGCCAGUGCUUUCCUCAGAGCCAGGUGUCCCCUCACCUCGCUUGGGUUUUCGUACAGUCACUUUCCUUGAUCACCCGCUCUAGAGCAGCCUCUUCCUCCCGUUUACUUUUCUUUAUAAUAGUGAUCACGAACAGGUUUUAUAUAUUUAGUCAUUACUGCCUAUCUUUCCAAGGUCCAUGAGGGCAGGGACUUUGUUUCUUCCACUAAUAUAUCCCCAACAUACAACAGUGCCCGGCACUCAUAUUAUAUAAACCAAUUAAAUAUGAACACAAAAAGAAAAGCAAUGUUUCUAUGAAAACUAAGUCAAACUGUUUUGGAAAGAACAAUAAAGGCAAGUUAGUGAAACAAAAUAAGUGGGGAUGACGCAAUUUUUUUUUUUUU